rnacentral:rRNA from 1 species
CAACGGAGAGUUUGAUCCUGGCUCAGGACGAACGCUGGCGGCGUGCUUUACACAUGCAAGUCGAGCGGUAAGGCCCCUUCGGGGGUACACGAGCGGCGAACGGGUGAGUAACACGUGGGCAAUCUACCCCUGACACCGGAAUAGCCCCGGGAAACCGAGAUUAAUGCCGGAUAUUCACACCACCUCGCAUGAGGAGGUGUGGAAAUGUGUUAGCGGUCAGGGAUGAGCCCGCGGCCUAUCAGCUUGUUGGUGGGGUAAUGGCCUACCAAGGCAUCGACGGGUAGCCGGCCUGAGAGGGCGACCGGCCACACUGGGACUGAGACACGGCCCAGACUCCUACGGGAGGCAGCAGUGGGGAAUCUUGCCCAAUGGGCGAAAGCCUGAGGCAGCGACGCCGCGUGAGGGAUGAAGGCCUUCGGGUUGUAAACCUCUGUCACCAGGGACGAAGCGAAAGUGACGGUACCUGGCGAGAAAGCGCCGGCUAACUACGUGCCAGCAGCCGCGGUAAUACGUAGGGCGCAAGCGUUGUCCGGAAUUAUUGGGCGUAAAGAGCUCGUAGGCGGCUCGUCACGUCCGCUGUGAAAAUCCGAGGCUCAACCUCGGACCUGCAGUGGAUACGGGCGAGCUAGAACACGGUAGGGGAGACUGGAAUUCCUGGUGUAGCGGUGGAAUGCGCAGAUAUCAGGAGGAACACCGGUGGCGAAGGCGGGUCUCUGGGCCGUUGUUGACGCUGAGGAGCGAAAGCGUGGGGAGCGAACAGGAUUAGAUACCCUGGUAGUCCACGCCGUAAACGUUGGG